rnacentral:lncRNA from 12 species
GCACUGCUCAUUUUGGUUGCCCUUGGUGGGUUGUCUUGGCUGGAUGCAGGAUCCUUCGGAGAGGAGCCCCCGUGGAAGUGCAUGGGUCCCCCUGCAAAGUCAGCAUGGGAGGCUCGUGGGCCCGCAGCAGGGACAGCCGUGGCUCACACCCACUGGGGCAAAGGAGCUCUUUUUAAAAGUGCUUUGGAGGAGUUAUUUGAACAUUUUCAAAAUCCACUUUGGCCCGUCAUGGAUCAGACCAUCUUGCAAAACACUAUUUCCAGCAAUUAUAUAAUAGGACCCUUUGGAAGAAUUUCAACGUGGGUUACCUUACGAGGUAUAUUUUUCCAGUACUUCUUGAUUCAUGUGUAAACCAAAUUCUUUUAGAUGUGCAUAUAUUUAAAAAUAAGAACGCAAGAUCUGGACAAUAAUGCUAUAUGGUUCAUUGACUAUUUUAAACAAGUUUGGUAUUGGAGAAUACAGGCACUAAAAGCCAAAAGGCUUGGCAGAUGGAGAGAAAAAUUUCUUGUCGAGACUUCCUGUCAUUUUGGCUAAAGAAGUCUUAUUAUUUCAGGAGCAGAAGUAAGAGACAGAAGGA